GUUACCCUGUAGCUACCCUGUAGCCGCGGGGUUACCCUGGAGCUACCCUGUAGCUCUGAGGGUGCUACCCUGUAGCGCGCCGCCUCCCCCAAGCCCGCCGGUGGUACACGAAACUCUUGUUUUAUUGUAUCUUCUGAGCGUCUUAUUUUAAUAAGUUAAAACUUUCAACAACGGAUCUCUUGGUUCUGGCAUCGAUGAAGAACGCAGCGAAAUGCGAUAAGUAAUGUGAAUUGCAGAAUUCAGUGAAUCAUCGAAUCUUUGAACGCACAUUGCGCCCAUUAGUAUUCUAGUGGGCAUGCCUGUUCGAGCGUCAUUUCAACCCUUAAGCCUAGCUUAGUGUUGGGAAUCUACUGUACGGUAGUUCCUUAAAGACAGUGGCGGAGCGAUAGUUGUCCUCUGAGCGUAGUAAAUUUUAUUCUCGCUUUUGUUAGGUGCUAUCUUCUCGCCAUAAAACCCCCAAUUUUUUAGUGGUUGACCUCGGAUCAGGUAGGAAUACCCGCUGAACUUAAGCAUAUCAAUAA
rnacentral:rRNA from 1 species